rnacentral:tRNA from 1 species
AUCACAGUAGUGUAAAUAACACAUUUCAUUUUCGUUGAAAAAAAGAAAUUAAUUUUCCUGAGAUA